UAAUAAUCAGAAUAAUAAUUACUUUUCAGGUGUGUGAAUAGUUUUGGAAAAUGUACUCAGAGCAAAAUCUUUUGGCAGGCUUAUAAGAUAAAAUAAUACUGAUAGAUGGAAGUCGGUAGUUGAAGUGUCCCUGAACAAAAGAAGGCUGAGCUCCGUAGUAAAAUACUUGAGCACCUGGGGUAAAAAAAUGCCUCUUCCUCCCUUCCCAUUAAACAGGUAUCCCUUCGUUGUGGCUGGGCAUACCGUUAGCCUAGCUGAACUCCUUCAGCUUCCUCACUGACACAUACUGGAUAGUGCAAAGCCAGAAGACUUGCCCUAGAUCCAGCAUUUGUUCUGUGGUUCUGUCUGUGUAAGAAGCCAUGAAAGCUGCAGGAAACAACAUGUUGCAACAGAGAUUUCCCUGAACCCCCUGCAGAGGUUGUGUUGUUCAUACGUCUUCAUUCGCAAAUUAAACAGGAAACACAAAGCUUCUGGAUGAGAAAGGAUAAAACAAGCACAAAGCUGGGUGAAGCAAAAGAAGAAACAAGGGCUGCAGGAGCAGUAGACCUUUGGCAUAUGAAUCCUUUGAUGAUGGAUGAGGAUGGAUGUUACAAAACAUAGUUUAUGACUGAACGCUGUUUCCCCAGAUCAACAAGGAAAGCUUCAGAGACUUUUCUGCUGCUGGAAGCCUUUUGCAAAUUCAUUCUGUUUUGACUGGACGACAGGAGAUCAGCAGGGGAUGACAAAAAACCAGCAAUAACAAAAAAAAACCCUUUCCCUCUAGGAGACUCAAACUCAGCUGGAAUACAGACUUCUUGUUGGAUGGGAAGGAAUUUUUAAUUAUGCAGAAAGAAUAGUUGAAUGGAGAAGAAAAUGUAAAUAAUUAACAGCUGACUUCACCCUACAAUAGCA
rnacentral:lncRNA from 1 species